AGAGUUUGAUCCUGGCUCAGGACGAACGCUGGCGGCGUGCUUAACACAUGCAAGUCGAGCGAUGAAGUUCCUUCGGGAACGGAUUAGCGGCGAACGGGUGAGGAACACGUGAGGAAUCUGCCUUCUACUCUGGGAUAACUCCGGGAAACCGGGGCUAAUACCGGAUAUGAAACCUGAUGGCAUCAUCGGGUUUGGAAAGUUUUUCGGUAGAAGAUGACCUCGCGGCCUAUCAGCUUGUUGGUGAGGUAAUGGCUCACCAAGGCGACGACGGGUAGCCGGCCUGAGAGGGCGACCGGCCACACUGGGACUGAGACACGGCCCAGACUCCUACGGGAGGCAGCAGUGGGGAAUAUUGGGCAAUGGAGGAAACUCUGACCCAGCGACGCCGCGUGCGGGAUGAAGGCCUUCGGG
rnacentral:rRNA from 1 species